UAAGCCAAGGUGAAUCCACAUAGGUGGCCAUU
rnacentral:piRNA from 1 species